UAUAGAAAUUUUUGGAUAUUAACAUUUGUAUACUCACCUUGUGUAGCUGUGGCUAUGCCACAUGAAGUUGAGGGUUAGACAUCAGAUUUCAGUGGAGAGGUUAUCUAUCUAUCUAUCUCCACAUGAAGUUGAGGGUUAGACAUCAGAUUUCAUUGGCGAGGUUGAAGCAGUGAAGGGAAUUAGUGACAUCUUAUUUUGGUUGUAUGCUCCAUAUCAAAAAUUGGUGACAUAUUUUUGAAGUUUUUGAAGUGCUGGAAGCAUAAUAUUCUAUCGAUCUAUAGAUAUAGAAAUUUUUGGAUAUUAACAUUUGUAUACUCACCUUGUGUAGCUGUGGCUAUGCCACAUGAAGUUGAGGGUUAGACAUCAGAUUUCAUUGGAGAGGUUGAAGCAGUGAAGGGAAUUAGUGACAUCUUAUUUUGGUUGUAUGUUCCAUAUCAAAAGGUGGUGACAUCUUUUUGAAGUGCUGGAAGCAUAAUAUUCUAUCGAAAAACAAGAUAUUUUGGGAAGGAUAUCAAGUAUCCUUGUUCAUAUCACUUAACUAGA
rnacentral:lncRNA from 1 species